rnacentral:rRNA from 1 species
GAUGAACGCUGGCGGCGUGCCUAAUACAUGCAAGUCGAGCGAACGGACGAGACGCUUGCUUCUCUGAUGUUAGCGGCGGACGGGUGAGUAACACGUGGAUACCCUACCUAUAAGACUGGGAUAACUUCGGGAAACCGGAGCUAAUACCGGAUGAUAUUUUGAACCUCAUGGUUCAAAAGUGAAAGACGGUCUUGCUGUCACUUAUAGAUGGAUCCGCGCUGCAUUAGCUAGUUGGUAAGGUAACGGCCUACCAAGGCAACGAUGCAUAGCCGACCUGAGAGGGUGAUCGGCCACACUGGAACUGAGACACGGUCCAGACUCCUACGGGAGGCAGCAGUAGGGAAUAUUCCGCAAUGGGCGAAAGCCUGACGGAGCAACGCCGCGUGAGUGAUGAAGGUCUUCGGAUCGUAAAACUCUGUUAUUAGGGAAGAACAUAUGUGUAAGUAACUGUGCACAUCUUGACGGUACCUAAUCAGAAAGCCACGGCUAACUACGUG